UACAGAGGGUGCGAGCGUUAAUCGGAAUUAUUGGGCGUAAAGCGCGCGUAGGCGGCUUUGCAAGUCGGGUGUGAAAUCCCCAGGCUUAACCUGGGAACUGCAUUCGAGACUGCAUUGCUAGAGUAUGGGAGAGGGAAGUGGAAUUUCCGGUGUAGCGGUGAAAUGCGUAGAUAUCGGAAGGAACAUCAGUGGCGAAAGCGGCAUCCUGGACCGGUAUUGACGCUGAGGCGCGAAAGCUAGGGUAGCAAACGGG
rnacentral:rRNA from 1 species